CGGUGCGUUUGUACAAAGCAAGCUCACACGCACAGAGUCUAUCGAUCAGAUGCGACUCCCGCUUGAUCAGCUGUCAUUUUCAGGUCCUAUUUUUUAGAGUGACUUCAUCGUGAGUGGUAGCUGAUUGAGCACGCCCUUUCAGCAGCGACUCCCAUCAGUGAUCUCACGGAAUCGAUCGUAGCUCACAUUUGCCGCACCCCCGUUGCAGGAGAAGCUGUACGAUCCCAAGGUACAUGUGGGCGAGUGAAAGUAGCAUUUCAGCGCUUCUAAGUGCCUCUGAUAAGGUCCAUGUCGUUGGUUUUUAAGUUAUAGAGAUUCACCCAUCUUAUAAGAUAGGAUAUGCACCCCUGCUGGUGGAUUCUACCAUGUUGAGGUCAAAGGACAAUGCUCUGAGUGGCACUUCCUGAGGAUAUUGAGAGAGGAAACUCCAUGGUAGAGUUUUUAAAGUAGCGCUGGGAAGGUAGCACAGCCUUACUUUGCGGAGUUCACAAGUGAUUAGGCAACUCCCGCUUGUGUACAUUACACCGACAUCCUGGCUGUAGAGAAGCUUGCACACACAGUUCUUAAAUGCUGUGAUCGUCGCAAAGUACUUGUACAGUCGUGGCCAGAGAGACAGAGGACCCAGAGUGGCAAAUUAAGGCUUAAUACGCAAACAUCACACCAGUUUCAUGUCUAAUAUAGACUCUAUCUAACCGCAGACCAGUCUUCAGGUAACUCGCCGUCACUUUUGGUCAGGCACCCGCUGACCCGUGCGCGCUCUCCGUCAAGGAGGCUUGAAUCGAAGUAGUCGUUCAUCCCAGUCGAUGGUUUACAAUUCUGCCAACAUGACCUCGCAUGACGAAUUGGUCAUGGAGAUGCCCACCCUGGAGAAGAUGAGUGUCCAGGAGAGGCUGAAGCACGCUCGAAAGCGCCGUGCCGCGCAGCUCAAGCGCUACCACCAGUCGGAUAAGGAAUUUAACAAGAGGCAACGCAAGAACACCAACCAAA